rnacentral:piRNA from 2 species
UGAUGAUAAUGGACUGAACCUGUGAACC